GACACCCCACGCCCACCUGGCCUCUGAGGACUCCUUCUAUGGCUGGACGCCCGUGCACUGGGCCGCGCAUUUCGGCAAGUUGGAGUGCUUAGUGCAGUUGGUGAGAGCGGGAGCCACACUCAACGUCUCCACCACACGGUACGCGCAGACGCCAGCCCACAUUGCAGCCUUUGGGGGACAUCCUCAGUGCCUGGUCUGGCUGAUUCAAGCAGGAGCCAACAUUAACAAACCGGAUUGUGAGGGUGAAACUCCCAUUCACAAGGCAGCUCGCUCUGGGAGCCUAGAAUGCAUCAGUGCCCUUGUGGCGAAUGGGGCUCACGUCGAUUCACAGCAUUAACAAAAUGGAUGCGGUUUUCACCCUUAAAUGUUGAGUGUAAGCUAUAGAGCUAUAAUAACCAAAAUAACCAAUAUCAGCUUUUUUGUUUUACCUUAAGUGUUAUGAAUAAUUCAUGAAAAUUAAUUAUAAACCACAUUAUUCUAAUCAGAAAUGUGAACAUUUAGACUUCGGAGGAAAUAAAACCCACAAAACUAGUUU
rnacentral:lncRNA from 1 species